CUCUUAUUACUGAAGAAUAAUGUGUUUAAAACCUGAUUUCUUUCUGAAAACCCAUAACAUCAGCCCAAUAAAGAGAAAACAUCAGACAAACCCAGAUUGGGGAACAUUUUACAGAGUAUCUCACAGUACUCCUCAAGAUGGGCAAAGUCACGAAAAACAAGGAAGGACUGAGAACCUGUCACAGCCCGCAGGAGACUGAGACACGAUGGAUGACGAGAUGCACCAUGGUGCCCUGGCUGAGCCGUGAUGUCACGUCUCUGUUCGGUUUUGCUGGUGCGUGCCUGCAGGACCUUGGCAAGAGCUGCUCCUGCUGGGUGGGAUGCUGUGCCCAUCUUCCUCCGCCUGGGAAACUGCUACUUAUCCUUCAUCUCUCGGCUUAAACAUGGCUUGCUCAGGGCAGAGCCACCCCAUCUUCCUGGCUGGCUCUCAUAGUGCUGUAUCGCUCUCCUUUUUGACAUUUUCCACAGUUGUAUAUUGCCUUUCACAGGCUCUCUCUCCUUUUUCACAUCUCCUCCUCUGCCCCAAAUAAUCAGCCUUCAGAAGCAGCAGCAGCCCCAGGGUUGGCCUUUCCUGGAGUCACCAGGAAGCCUGGGGUCCACUGGCAGAGGCCACUGCAGGAGGUGUGGGUGGGGCGAGAGACGAGAAAGGGCAGUGAUCCUAAGGGAAAGGAUGCAGGUUGAGGGCAUGGGAACUGAGGCCAGAAAAGGACUUGAUUUUCUGCUUCUAGGAGAAGGGAAGGGAGAAAGACGGAGGUGAUGGGGUCCAGAAUAUGCCACUCUGGCAUAGGGAUUACUUUGUCCUGAAAGCCAUGGAGAAAAAGCAUACACAAGAAAACCUCUGCUCUCCCCUCUCUACCAGGAAGGGCAGGAUGAUUCUUAAUAAUCAGCAGAGAUAACUCUAGACACUUAUCAGCUCAGAGACAGCACCAAAAGAACCCACAUAAUAAACCUUACUGACUAGCCCUUAUCUCCCACAAUUUUCCUCACACAUUUGCCUUCCCAUGGUUUGCCGCCCCUACAAGCUCAAAGUCCCUUCCCUGGGUCUUGUUACUUCUCUACAAAUUUAUCGUUCUUUUGUUAAGAUGCGGUAUGCUACCCCAAGUUCUAACCAGCCCUUUGAGCUACUCAUCACUGAGCUCCCACGUAUAUGUGUGCCAUAUGUGUU
rnacentral:lncRNA from 1 species